rnacentral:rRNA from 1 species
GAUGAACGCUGGCGGCGUGCCUAAUACAUGCAAGUCGAGCGAACGGACGAGAAGCUUGCUUCUCUGAUGUUAGCGGCGGACGGGUGAGUAACACGUGGAUAACCUACCUAUAAGACUGGGAUAACUUCGGGAAACCGUAGCUAAUACCGGAUAAUAUUUUGAACCGCAUGGUUCAAAAGUGAAAGACGGUCUUGCUGUCACUUAUAGCUGGAUCCGCGCUGCAUUAGCUAGUUGGUAAGGUAACGGCUUACCAAGGCAACGAUGCAUAGCCGACCUGAGAGGGUGAUCGGCCACACUGGAACUGAGACACGGUCCAGACUCCUACGGGAGGCAGCAGUAGGGAAUCUUCCGCAAUGGGCGAAAGCCUGACGGAGCAACGCCGCGUGAGUGAUGAAGGUCUUCGGAUCGUAAAACUCUGUUAUUAGGGAAGAACAUAUGUGUAAGUAACUGUGCACAUCUUGACGGUACCUAAUCAGAAAGCCACGGCUAACUACGUG